rnacentral:tRNA from 1 species
UGGGGCGUCGACAAGUGGUAAGUCACGAGGUUUUGGUCCUCGCACUCGAGGGUUCGAAUCCUUCCGCCCCAGCCA